rnacentral:lncRNA from 1 species
CUCUCCUCUCCGUUACUGCUGUCUGUCUACUGUCUCUCCGUUACUACUGUCUGUCUACUCUCUCCUCUCCGUUACUACCGUCUGUCUACUGACUCUCCUCUCCGUUACUACCGUCUGUCUACUGUCUCUCCUCUCCGUUACUACCGUCUGUCUACUGUCUCUCUCCUCUCUGUUUCUACUGUCUCUCUUCUCUCUGUUACUACUGUCUGUCUACUGACUCUCUCCUCUCCGUUACUACCGUCUGUCUACUCUCUCCUCUCCGUUACUACCGUCUGUCUACUGUCUCUCCGUUACUGCUGUCUGUCUACUGUCUCUCAGUUACUACUGUCUGUCUACUCUCUGCUCUCCGUUACUACCGUCUGUCUACUGUCUCCUCUCCGUUACUACCGUCUGUCUACUGUCUCCUCUCCGUUACUACCGUCUGUCUACUGUCUCUCACCUCUCCGUUACUACCGUCUGUCUACUGUCUCUCCUCUCCGUUACUACUCUCUGUCUACUGUCUCUCCUCUCCGUUACUACUGUCUCUCCUCUCCAUUACUACCGUCUGUCUACUGUCUCUCUCCUCUCCGUUACUACUGUCUGUCUACUGUCUCUCUCCUCUCUGUUAGUAGCGUCUGUCUACUGACUCUCCUCUCCGUUACUACUGUCUGUCUACUGACUCUCCUCUCCGUUACUACCGUCUGUCUACUGUCUCUCCUCUCUGUUAGUACCGUCUGUCUACUGUCUCUCCUCUCCGUUACUACCGUCUGUCUACUGUCUCUCCUCUCCGUUACUACCGUCUGUCUACUGUCUCUCCUCUCCGUUAGUACCGGCUGUCUACUGUCUCUCCCCUCUCCGUUACUACCGUCUGUCUACUGUCUCUCCCCUCUCCGUUACUACCGUCUGUCUCCUGUCUCUCCUCUCCGUUACUACCGUCUGUCUACUGUCUCUCCUCUCCGUUACUACCGUCUGUCUACGGUCUGUCUACUGUCUCUCUCCUCUCCGUUACUACCGUCUGUCUACUGUCUCUCCUCUCCGUUUACUUCCGUCUGUUACUGUCUCUCUCCUCUCCGUUUUCUACCGUCUGUCUACUGUCUCUCUCCUCUCCGUUACUACCGUCUGUCUACUGUCUCUCUCCUCUCGUUACUACCGUCUGUUCUACUGUCUCUCUCCUCUCCGUUACUACCGUCUGUCUACUGUCUCUCUCCUCUCCGUUAG